rnacentral:rRNA from 1 species
GAGUUUGAUCCUGGCUCAGAUUGAACGCUGGCGGAAUGCUUUACACAUGCAAGUCGAACGGCAGCACGGGGGCAACCCUGGUGGCGAGUGGCGAACGGGUGAGUAAUACAUCGGAACGUGCCCAGUCGUGGGGGAUAACGUAGCGAAAGCUACGCUAAUACCGCAUACGAUCUCUGGAUGAAAGCGGGGACCGCAAGGCCUCGCGCGAUUGGAGCGGCCGAUGGCAGAUUAGGUAGUUGGUGGGGUAAAGGCUCACCAAGCCGACGAUCUGUAGCUGGUCUGAGAGGACGACCAGCCACACUGGGACUGAGACACGGCCCAGACUCCUACGGGAGGCAGCAGUGGGGAAUUUUGGACAAUGGGGCAACCCUGAUCCAGCCAUGCCGCGUGAGUGAAGAAGGCCUUCGGUUGUAAGCUCUUUC